rnacentral:rRNA from 1 species
AGUUUUGAUCAUGGCUCAGAGUGAACGCUGGCGGCAGGCCUAAUACAUGCAAGUCGAACGGCAGCACAGCAGAGCUUGCUCUGUGGGUGGCGAGUGGCGGACGGGUGAGGAAUACAUGGGAAUCUGCCCAGUCGUGGGGGAUAACGUAGGGAAACUUACGCUAAUACCGCAUGCGCCCUUCGGGGGAAAGCCGGGGACCUUCGGGCCUGGCGCGAUUGGAUGAGCCCAUGUCGGAUUAGCUAGUUGGCGGGGUAAUGGCCCACCAAGGCGACGAUCCGUAGCUGGUCUGAGAGGAUGAUCAGCCACACUGGAACUGAGACACGGUCCAGACUCCUACGGGAGGCAGCAGUAGGGAAUAUUGGACAAUGGGCGCAAGCCUGAUCCAGCCAUGCCGCGUGAGUGAAGAAGGCCCUCGGGUUGUAAAGCUCUUUUGUCCGGAAAGAAAAGCGCCGGGUUAAUACCCUAGUGUCCUGACGGUACCGGAAGAAUAAGCACCGGCUAACUUCGUG